UGAAAUUGUAAUUUUUGUGCAACAUUAUAGGAUUAAACUUAUUUACUGGACGGAGUCCUAAACUUACAAACAAAAAAGAGGGCUUUUAUGUUGAAUUUGUGAGUCUGAGACCAGAUUACAAAGCAACCACGUUCUAAAAAAAUGUGCUAAAUUCUGAUAAUUAUUAAUUGAUACAUUUUUAAUAUUUGUUUUCCAAAUUUUAUCUUUCUUCAGACCUCAAAUUCUUUUCAUGUGUACUGCGCAUGACUAUAUUAGGGAAGCAGUUUUGGCAAAGGCGUUUAUUGACGUACCCAUCCUUCCAAGCAUACCUUAUCAAUAUAAACUGAACAGAUGGUCACUCAGGAAAAUGUGAUUCAAGUUUUCCUACUGGUUUAUCCAAGAUAUCCAUUAGUAUUACACAAAUUUACAAAAGGUUAACAAAUAUAAAAUGAUUGUCUUGUAGAGAAGCCAAGAAAAUUUUGUUCACAAAUUUUCCUUAUACACAAAUACAAUUGGUAGUAAAAUUUCAAACUACCCUCUUACAGGAAGUUCCUGUACUGAAGAUCUAAUUAUUGCACUCAACAUGUUAAGAUCUGGAGUCUAUUUCUGGACCAAAUAUGAAAUUAUUCCCUUUCAUAGAAGCUUAGACAAUUUUGAAGACAAACUUUUACCUUGUACAAUGAGUAGUUACAUUUCAAACUAUCAGCAAACACAAAGUGGCUGAACUGCAGAUCUAAAAACUGCUUAAUCGUUACAACUCAAUAUUUUCAAGCUUUGGGCCAAAUAUAAAAUCAUCCCCUUUCAUAAAAGCCAAGAAAACUUUACAAAAAUAAUUUCCUUGUACAUUCAGCAGUCAUACUUUAAACUGAGUAAUUAAUUUGGCUGCAUACCAGAUAAAAAAAAAUGCUUACAACUCUCCAUGAUCAAGCUCUGGGCUUCAUAUAAAAUCAUUCCCUCUCAUAGAAGCGAAGAAAUCAUUGUCGAAAGAUUAAUAGACAGACAGAAUUACAUACCGUGAUGCAGGUAAAAUGAUACCCCCACCUGAAUAUUUCCUUAUAAAACAGAAAGAUGUUGAAAUUUCAGAAAUCUUGGUAAAUUGAAAUUGUUCCUGGGAAAAAUGUAACUAAAAUUUUCCACAUUGCUAUCAUGUGUGAAAUGAUACAAGUGUAAG
rnacentral:lncRNA from 1 species